GACGAACGCUGGCGGCGUGCUUAACACAUGCAAGUCGAACGGACAGGCCCUGCUUUUGUGGGGUGCUCGAGUGGCGAACGGGUGAGUAACACGUGAGUAACCUGCCCUUGACUUUGGGAUAACUUCAGGAAACUGGGGCUAAUACCGGAUAGGAGCUCCUGCUGCAUGGUGGGGGUUGGAAAGUUUCGGCGGUUGGGGAUGGACUCGCGGCUUAUCAGCUUGUUGGGGGGGUAGUGGCUUACCAAGGCUUUGACGGGUAGCCGGCCUGAGGGGUGACCGGCCACAUUGGGACUGAGAUACGGCCCAGACUCCUACGGGAGGCAGCAGUGGGGAAUAGUGCACAAUGGGCGGAAGGCUGAUGCAGCAACGCCGCGUGCGGGAUGACGGCCUUCGGGUUGUAAACCGCUUUCGCCUGUGACGAAGCGUGAGUGACGGUAAUGGGUAAAGAAGCACCGGCUAACUACGUG
rnacentral:rRNA from 1 species